CGCGUCAUCUGGCGUGAUAGCCUCGCGAAAAUCGCGGACACGAAAAUCAUAGGGAUAGAUACAUAGUGAGACAUCUGGUAUAUCUAUAAUCUAUGCCAUGGUUCAAGCCAUCAAAGUCUAUAUUGUUAGAUUGUUACACUCCAUUAGCCACCCUUACUUCGUUCAUAUGCGCAAGGAACUCCCAUUUUAUCGCUAAUAUAAAUAUCCACUAACCUUACAACAUUGUUCUUUAGCAAUUUAAGAUAAAUUUAUCCAAGAUGUUUGCCAAGAUAUCCCUCAUCAUAUUGCACAUCUGCCCAAGAUAUUCCUGAUGAUAUUGCACAUUUACCCAAGAUAUCCACCAAGAAAAUGCACAUUUGCCCAAGAUAUCCCUCAUAGUAUUGCACAUUUGCCUAAGAUAUCCCUCAUAGUAUUGCACAUUUGCCCAAGAUAUCCACCAUAAUUCUUCAACGAUGUGGUAAGGUGGGGGUAAUUUCACAUUUGGCAUUGAAAAAAGGUUUGGGAUCCGAUCCUGAGGGGUCUAGUGCGUGGAUUUCACGCUUGAUGCCUUAUCCUAAGCUAGUCGAGUUUAUCUCACUCGCUCAUGUUGGUCUUAAAACCUAAGAGACCUAAUGCACUUGUAAAUAUUUAAAUGUGCAAACCCUAGCAAGAUACCCCCACUUACAAGCCACCAUUCUAACAGUCAACGGAAACUUUUAGCAUGCAGUUUAGUAACACUAUAUAUAGUUACAGGUGUAAAACUACUGCACAGUUUUAUCUUAUCAAGCCUUUCGUCAUAGUACAGCAGUGAAUCUUAAUAAAUUUGAAAUAUCAAUAAACUGCGAUGUCUAUUUCAAAAGCUUAAGCAAUAUAGUUAAAUGCUAAAUUUAAUGUUGAAAUUUUUCAGGCUAAGGCAUAUAGCCAUAGCAAGCUGUCCUUUAUGGAAACAGUACUUAAAAUGUUUUAAUUGAAAUAUAACUGAAAUUAUUUAGGCUAAGGCAUAUAGCCAUAGCAAGCUGUCCUUUAUGGAAACAGUACUUAAAAUGUUUUAAUUGAAAUAUAACUGAAAUUAUUUAGGCUAAGGCAUAUAGCCAUAGCAAGCUGUCCUUUAUGGAAACAGUACUUAAAAUGUUUUAAUUGAAAUAUAACUGAAAUUAUUUGGGCUAAGGCAUAUAGCCAAUAGCAAGCUGUCCUUUAUAGAAACAGUACUUAAAAUGUUUUAAUUGAAAUAUAACUGAAAUUAUUUAGGCUAAGGCAUAUAGCCAUAGCGAGCUGGGCCUUUAUAGAAACAGCACUGAAAUAAUAUCACAACUUUACUAGAUAUCCCAAGAUACCUGCAACACUUCCAGCCAGCCAUUUAACACAGACAAACAGUACACCCAUUUAUUCCCGGAGCCAAUGACAUAUAUAGUUGGGUUCUAUAUAGUUGAAAGCAACACCUUUCAAACCUCAAAAUUUUCAAAAAAUUCUCAAAAAAAUUCUCACAGGUAAAAUGGUAGCAUGUAAAAUGGAGUCUAUAAUUAUUAUUCAGAAGGCAUGCAGUUGAGUGGGGAGUCUCAACUCCCUCCAACAUUAAAAGUCGUGAGUCAUGAUAUUUAUGAACAUAAAAUAAAAUAGGGGAAAUAAAAAAAAUGUGCAGGUUAAAAACACUUGACUGCCUAUCGCAGUAGGGGCUGUAGGUUUGCCAGCGACUCACAUUAUCAUCCAUUCAUUACAAUGGCCAAUGUCUCCU
rnacentral:lncRNA from 1 species